GUGAAUCAUCGAAUCUUUGAACGCACCUUGCGCUCCUUGGUAUUCCGAGGAGCAUGCCUGUUUGAGUGUCAUGGAAUCAUCAACUUCAAUAGCUUUUGUUAUUGAAGCUUGGACUUGGAGGUCUGUGUCGGCUCGCAAGAGUGGACUCCUCUCAAAUGCAUUAGCGUGAACCUGACGGAUCGCCUUCAGUGUGAUAAUUAUCUGCGCUGUGGUGUGAAGUCAAUUAGUGUUCGAGCUUACAACCGUCCGCAAGGACAAUUACUUGACAAUCUGACCUCAAAUCAGGUAGGACUACCCGCUGAACUUAA
rnacentral:rRNA from 1 species